rnacentral:rRNA from 1 species
UAGCCGUAAACGAUACUCGCUAGGUGUCGGCCACGGUGCGACCGUUGUCGGUGCCGUAGGGAAGCCGUGAAGCGAGCCACCUGGGAAGUACGGCCGCAAGGCUGAAACUUAAAGGAAUUGGCGGGGGAGCACCACAACGGGUGGAGCUUGCGGUUUAAUUGGAUUCAACGCCGGAAAUCUUACCGGGACCGACAGCAACAUGAAGGCCAGGCUGAAGACUUUGCCGGAUUAGCUGAGAGGAGGUGCAGGCGUAGUCGUGU